UAAAUUUCAUUCAUGAAAUUUUUUUCUAAUUUUAAACACCCAGAAUCCCAUGUCCUUUGACUUGCAGUGUAGCUAUCUAGAAUGAAACACUUGCCUUGCUAAUCCCAAGUAAGAAGUGACUGGGUGGGGGGUUGCGGGGAGGGGUCUUGGUUUUGGGUAGAAGCACACAUUCCUGCAGACAGCUAGUUGUUUUAUAGAAAUGUUAGGUUUCAUGUGUGUUACUAUUAGGUAUAUAUAGGCUAGAUUGUGCCCACUAUCCUGGAAGGUGGCAAGUUUAGAGACGAUAGCACAAUUUUCAUGAACAUAGCACUGGGGCAUGCACUGUGAUGGGGCAGUGGAGCGCAUGCGGCUAGUUCUAGUUAGUCUAUAUUGUUUGUUUUUUCAGUCUUCUUUUUCUAGCAUGCUUUACAUAGGAGAGAAUAAAGGGCUAUUUAAUAAGCAAUCCGGAUCUCAGAGAACAUAGUAAUACUGUCUAGUUUAAAGCCUGCAGUAAAGGUACUCAGAUUUAUGGCUUUCAUGACUAACACUAAACACAUCAGCCAACAAUGUACCAAGAAAACAUGAUUUUAUGAAACAGAAUGUCACCAUAUAAUUCCAAAAAGGGCUUUGUGCUUCUCAUGUAACAUUGGGAUUGUGUAGAUUUGAACCUUAUAACUUGAAUUUUAAAGAUAGUAGCAUUUUGAAGAUGCUUAAUAACCUUUUUAGGAAUAUGGAGAUAAAGAUUGUUUUUCUGAUUUUCUUCCAUCUGAAGUUUGACUUUUAUACCCAGCCAGAAGUUACAAAAUGAUGACCCACUCUGGGUAUAAGCUUGAUUUCCUUUGUUGAGACUUACCCUUCAUUGAAGAGAAAAAGAAGACAGUCAAAAAAGGUCCAGGUUACAAAGUUCUCCUCAUAGGUGGAAAGGUUUACUGCAGUGUUAUCCUCUAAGUGUGAUAAACUGUGCUUUACCGCUCCGAACACUCAGGACUCCGUGUGUAUCAGUGUGGGCUCCUCAGUAAGGAAGAGGAGCUCAAAGUUUGUGUGUAUUAAUAUGAAUUAGCUAACGUGAACUAUGUUUUGGAAAGUUACAACUACUUUUACAUUAAGGAUGAGAAACUGGAGUGUUUUUGAUUUCAUGGUAAAAGUUUGUGUGUUUUACAUUUGAAUGUUCACAGUUUUCUCUCAGAGAAGUGCCAGACAUUGUUUUGUGCUUUUGAAGAAGUUUUAUUUAUAUGCAUUAUUUUUAUUGUUUUUACUUUGACUGGAAUGUUUAUUGUGAACUGUAUUUAUUUUUAUACUUUGAUUUUCACUAGUUUUGCUUUUAUGUAAAAGUCAAAAUAAACUUUUCAUCCU
rnacentral:lncRNA from 1 species